rnacentral:tRNA from 1 species
UCCCAUAUGGUCUAGUGGUUAGGAUUUGGCGCUUUCACCGCCAAGGCCCGGGUUCAAUUUCCGGUGUCGGAA